UUAUAUAAAUAUAUUUCAUAGCCUAAAUAUAAAUAAUUUAACAACUUAAAUUAGAAAAAAAUAAAAAUCCCGGGCGUAGCCCGGGUUAACCCCUAGUAUUUUCAAAAGUUUACUUUAAAGAUCGAUAUUGCGAAGAAUUUCGAUUCUACGAGGUGAAUUUUAUCUGGAUUAUAUCGUGUAUCAGUUCUCUUUUGUUUCCGGCCAGAAUCAAUGGGACUACAUCGGACCAACCAACAGGUUUCCAACAAGGAGACCUUAUAUCUCCUCUUGGAGUUCAAACUGUGAAUAUCAAAUCAUGUGAAAGAAAGACAGACCAAGAAGAUAAAAUAGUUUAUAACAGUUUAAAAAACAGUUCAAAUAAAAUAAAUUACAUAUUUAAAAUCAUGUUAUUGUAAUUUUAAAAUCAAAAUUUGAAAACACUAGUAAUUAACGAAAUACAUAAAUCGUUCAUUAAUAUAUAUUUAAACCACAAUACUAUAUAUUUACGUAAUCCUUUAUAUAUUACAACAAUUAAAGCAUACAUAUGUCCCUAUCUUUAUUUAAUAUUUCUUUUUUUGCUAGUCAUAAUUUUUUUCUAAGCUUUAUUGUUUUUUUCUCUUUUUUUGUCAACCCUUAUUUUUAUAAUUUAAUAAUAAACUUUUAAAAAUUAUUAUGAUACAAAUUUAUAACUUAACUUUAGUUACCGAUUAAUUUAAACAAUCAGACCUAAUAAGUAUUAAUAUAGACUAAUUAAUUUUCUUCUUUCUUCCAAUCAAUUUAAUUGAUUAAACCUAAUAUUAAUAUAAUUUUUAUAUCUAUUAAAAUUAAACCGGUGACCUAAGGAGACUUUAAUAUUUGAAUAUAUAAUAUAAUUUAAGUUUAAUAAAUUAAUAUUCUGUAAACUAAUAAAUAUAGUAUAUUAAUAAAUUUUAUCAGUUUUGAGUUUUGUCAAUUCAAUAGGUAAUAUAAUAUACUAUAUAUAUAUAUAUUAUUCUCUCUUUGUGAUCCCCAAAUUAACUUUCUAAUUUUUUUAACAAAAUUUGCAACCUCAUUACAAUAUUAAACUAUGAAUUAAAUUUAUAUCAAUAUAUUAAAAAUCAACUGGGUCCCAUAAUAAAUUUUAACCAAUGUAAUAUCUCUGUCCAUUUCUCUUUUUUUCUUUAACGUGACCUUUUCCCUUUUAUUUUUCUACAUGACUGAAACUUCAUUAACUGUUUAAAAAUAAUUUAUCCAUUUUUAAAAUUUAUAAUAUCUGUUUUUUUAAAACACAAUUAUAUAGAAUAUCAUUAAAAUAAACUGUAUAUCUUGGAUAAUGUAAAUAAUGUUUACUGAGAAUUUCAGAGGAUUGAAAAUGAGUUUUAAUUGUGUUUUUUAGGUUUUAAGAUUAUUAUGUUCGUUUUUGCAGAAAUUUUAUCUGGAAUAUAACUAAAAUGAAGUGUAUAUCAUUAAAAUGUUUUUAAGAACUGUUUUUAUGGGGUUUGGUUUAUUUUACUUCAUUUUGAAGUAUAGUAAGACUUUUAUAUGGUCAUAGAAUAUGAUAAUAGUGGUUUAAUAGAAGGAGAGGUACACAACAAAUCGGUGCAACUAUUUUGGCUCAAGAUUAUUCUGGUAGUUUUGACACACACGAUUUUCUUUAUUAGGUUUUCAUUGUGUGUAAUUGGACUACUACGAUUAUUGAGUUUAUUGUGUGUAAUCAGAAGAUUACAAGAUUUAUUGUGUGUAAUUCGAACUAUUAGAAUCACUGAGUUUAUUAUGUGUAAUUUGGACACUAGGAUUACUUGGUUUUAUUAUGUGUAAUUUAAAACUUCUAUAUAUUGCAAGUACUACGUAUAUUUAACAUAUAUAACUCAUAUAUUUUCUAUUAGUAGACUAUGUAUAUAGUCAGUAAGACUAUUAAAACUAUUUAGAUGAUUAUUUUCUAUAGUUUUAAGAAUAUUUAUCAUUUUUUCAAAAUGAUUCUCUAACUUUCAUGGUUGUUAUGUGAAUCAUAAGGUUAUAGUGAGAAGAAUCUAUAAAAAUACUUAUUUCUGAUAAAUUGUUUAUGUAAUACUCUUCCUUAAUGACAUUCAUUAUAUAAAAUCAUUGCUUUUAUUACGAAGUAUUUCACUUGGACAUGGUUUUACUAAUAAAAAUUAAAAUUUGCCAAAGUAUUACUAUGUAUAAGUUAGUAUUAUUACUAUCUUGAAGAUUACCAAGAAUUAUUAAGUGUAAUUAUAAUAUUAAAUUUAUGUAUAUAACGGAUAUAUGUUUUACCUGAGUGCUUUUUAAAUUAUUAUUUUAACAUGUGCUAUGCAUGCAUUUUUACAUGAUUGUUUUUUAUAUUAUUAUUUUAAUGUGAAUAAGACAAAACGAAUUUUAUGAAACAUUAACGUUUUUAAAAUCUAAAAUAAGAAGAUAAAUGUUUUAUAACUUUUUAAUUAUUUGUAAAUGAUGGAAGGUGUAAUGUGAUAUAUUACUUAAACUCAACAUUUACGGACAAACAAAAUGUGUUUCGAAAAGAAAAUAUUAACAUAUAUUUAGAUCUUUCUCUAUAUUUAAUCUGAUCUGAUUACAAAAUGUAUGUGUUUAUUUCAUAAUCUGUUCAGCUUGCCUCUGCACUAAACAAUGGGGAAUUAAUCAACUUGUGUUUAACAUGUACUAUGCAUUUAACAUGUUAUAAACUGUAUGUGUUUAUUUCAUAAAAGUUUUUUUUUACAUUAUUUAAUUUCAUAAUAUUAGAACGCAGUGCUAGGAAACAACCGUCUUUCGUCGUUUGCAUGGAUGCGGAGUUACCGAUUUGGUUUACAUAGUCAAUAUGAGUCUGUGAAUGUCUUGUUGUCAAAAAAAAAAAAAUUCAUAAUUAAUAUGUGUUAUCCGUUUUUGGUAUUAUCAUUUUUUUGCACAUAAUAAACCAAAUAAAUCCAGUUAUCCGUUGCCAAAAAAAAAAUCCAGUUAUCGAAACCUAUUUAGCAACAUAUACCAUGUUUUUGACAUCCAAAGCACAAAUUUUUGUACAUGUAAUACAUAUCAAGAAUGUUACUUUGGUUUUCCAAACAUAACAACAAAAAUAAAAUCAAUAAUAUUUUUGUCAAUACAAUAAUUUUAUACAAAAGCUAAUUGAUAAAAAUCAUCAAGAAGCUCCCAACGUUUCUCUGGUCCAGGACAAGGAUCCAACGAAGAUAAUGCCCCAAGAAGCUCUCAUUCCUUCUUUAUCAUUCAAACAACUUUGUGAGUUGCAAACUCUCGAGAGCCGGAGAAGACCUCAUCAACUUUUCUGGUCCAGCACAAGGAUCCACCUUUCUUCUACAAGACGAGAUUCUCAGCAGGUCUGUGGUCACAACAUUUCCCAACGCCUUUAAUGCCAUCAAAGCUACCUUCACAACCACUAAUCUCAAGCUUUCACAAGUCUCUUACACCAUGUUGCUAAUAUCGUUAAAGUGAAACGCAGAGACUCUCAGCUUCUUCGGCAUGGGAAACAUAAUUCUCUUUGAUAGUCUUCUUUGUCUACUUCCAAGCUCUGUCUAGGCAAUGAAGCAGACCACCAGCUUGAGGGUUCUAGCUACAGAGUUAUUUCUAGAAGCCUGACCAGAAGAAGCUAAGGAGCUUGAAGAUGAACCAAUGUUACCAACAGGCUGCUACAACCACUUCCUUCCCACCAAGACUCCUAUCUCUCCUAACUACCAACUUGGGUCUCCCUUGUAAACAACCCUUAAAAAUACAAAAAUCCUAACUGAAUGGAGAAGGAUAAAAGAGGGGCUUUGGUGGUGAAGAAUCGCGGGGAAGAUGGAAAAGAACACAAAGUGGUCAUUUGUUUUGUUUUGCGGACUUCGAUGAAUUGAGUGAGUUGAAGAGGUCCAGUUUGGUUCUCGUUUCGCCGUCGCAAGAAAGAGAGGGAGAGUUGGGAAGAAGACGUGAAAUCAGAAAAGUGACGAUUGAGAAGGGAACGCCGUCGUUUAGUUAGAGCAAGAGCAUCAGUGAACUCCCCUUGGAUUCAUCUUUUCAAUUUUUUAUUAUUAAAUUUUUUUCUUAUUUUUUUGAUUUAAAAAAAAAAAAAAAACUAGACCAAUCGCGGACCACCACGACACGUGGGACCCGCGCUACAUGAUGAAUUUUAGAAGAGAGGGAUUCAGUCGAGCUUUAGGAGAGAAUGGUUCAUAUGAUUGAGUUAUUUUUUUUUUCUUGAUUUCUGUGUGAACUCCCUCCAUAAAUCCUCAAUGGGGGUGCUCUUAGGAUCCGGGUUAGGAUUUGGAUUGGAUCAUUGUAAUUAAGCUAUUUCAUUAAGGGUUAUUUAGUCUUUGGCCACA